rnacentral:rRNA from 1 species
GUGAGGAAUAUUGCGCAAUGGAGGCAACUCUGACGCAGCCAUGGCGCGUGCAGGAAGAAGGCGCUACGCGUUGUAAACUGCUUUUAACCGGGAAGAAACCCCAGGACGUGUCCUGGGUUGACGGUACCGGAGGAAUAAGCACCGGCUAACUUCGUGCCAGCAGCCGCGGUAAUACGACGGGUGCAAGCGUUAUCCGGAUUCCUUGGGUUUAAAGGGUGCGUAGGCGGAGCGUUAAGUCAGUGGUGAAAUCCUGCAGCUUAACUGUAGACUUGCCAUUGAUACUGGCGCUCUUGAGUGCGCUUGAAGUGGGCGGAAUGUGCCGUGUAGCAGUGAAAUGCUUAGAUAUGGCACAGAACACCAAUUGCGAAGGCAGCUCACUAAGGCGAUACUGACGCUGAGGCACGAAAGCGUGGGGAUCGAACAGGAUUAGAAACCCGGGUAGUCC